UUGGGUGUUGUCCUAUAUGUCAUGCUGUGUGGCUACCUCCCGUUCGAUGGUGACAACUUUGUGGAGCUCCAUGAACAAAUCACUAAAGGACACUUUGACACUCCUGACUGGCUGUCUCCUGGUUCUGUACUGCUGCUUAAGGAAAUGCUGCAGGUGGUUCCAGAGCGGCGUAUAAAGGUGGAGCAUCUGCUGGAUCACGAGUGGGUAAUGAAGGGGUACAGCAGCCCUGUGGAAUGGCACAGCACAUGCCAGGUACAACAUCCACCCUAGACGUAGUACAGUGACAUGAUGGACAUGAUGGAGCAGCUGGUG